CUAGGAAUUUUGCGCAAUGGGCGAAAGCCUGACGCAGCAACGCCGCGUGGGGGAAGAAGGCCCUCGGGUCGUAAACCCCUUUUCUGAGGGAAGAAGUUCUGACGGUACCUCAGGAAUAAGCCACGGCUAACUACGUGCCAGCAGCCGCGGUAAUACGUAGGUGGCAAGCGUUGUCCGGAUUUAUUGGGCGUAAAGCGCACGCAGGCGGUUCGUUAAGUCUGGGGUGAAAUCUCUCGGCUCAACUGGGAGAGGUCUCUGGAUACUGGCGAACUUGAGUGCAUCAGAGGAGAGUGGAAUUCCCGGUGUAGUGGUGAAAUGCGUAGAUAUCGGGAGGAACACCAGUGGCGAAGGCGGCUCUCUGGGGUGUUACUGACGCUGAGGUGCGAAAGCGUGGGGAGCGAACCG
rnacentral:rRNA from 1 species